rnacentral:rRNA from 1 species
GCGUGUGUGAUGAAGGCCUUAGGGUUGUAAAACACUUUCAAUGGUGAAGAUGAUGACGGUAACCAUAGAAGAAGCCCCGGCUAACUUCGUGCCAGCAGCCGCGGUAAUACGAAGGGGGCGAGCGUUGUUCGGAAUUACUGGGCGUAAAGGGCGCGCAGGCGGCCAAUCCAGUCAGGUGUGAAAGCCCCGAGCUCAACUUGGGAACUGCACUUGAUACUGAUUGGCUAGAAAACGGAAGAGGGCAGUGGAAUUCCCAGUGUAGAGGUGAAAUUCGU